rnacentral:ncRNA from 1 species
AACCACUAGGGGAGCCCAAUAAUGGCUGAGAGAGGAUUUUUCCUCGACCCUUAGAACCUGACCUGGGUAAUACCAGCGGAGGGAAGUGGUUGUGUA